rnacentral:rRNA from 1 species
UACGUAGGGAGCAAGCGUUGUCCGGAUUCACUGGGUGUAAAGGGUGCGUAGGCGGGAGAGUAAGUCCGCGGUGAAAUCUCACGGCUCAACCGUGAAACUGCCGUUGAUACUGCUUUUCUUGAGUUCGGGAGAGGUUGAUGGAAUUCCAGGUGUAGCGGUGAAAUGCGUAGAUAUCUGGAAGAACACCAGUGGCGAAGGCAGCGUCCUGGCGAGCAACUGACGCUCAUGUGCGAAAGCUAGGGGAGCGAACGGG